AUGGCAACUUUGUGCAGGCUGUAAGAGGCUUCUGGCCACUUGUUGGUCAGCCAGAUAUCCAACUUUGGUCACAAGUGAUGCCACGGUUUGUGCUCUGCACUAACAUAUGAUACAAAUAUUGAUGAAAAUAAUACUGUUGCCUUCCUGAACAGGAAAUUAAUUUUAUCACUGGAUACAGACACUUAUGAAGAAAGUGGACUUCAAGGUUGUC
rnacentral:lncRNA from 1 species